rnacentral:rRNA from 1 species
UACGGGGGGAGCAAGCGUUGUUCGGAUUUACUGGGCGUAAAGGGCGCGUAGGCGGCCUGUGCAAGUCAGUUGUGAAAUCUCCGGGCUUAACUCGGAAAGGUCAACUGAUACUGCUCGGCUAGAGUGCGGAAGGGGCAACUGGAAUUCUUGGUGUAGCGGUGAAAUGCGUAGAUAUCAAAGAGGAACACCUGCGGCGAAGGCGGGUUGCUGGGCCGACACUGACGCUGAGGCGCGAAAGCUAGGGGAGCGAACGGG